GACGAACGCUGGCGGCGUGCUUAACACAUGCAAGUCGAACGGAAAGGCCCUGCUUUUGUGGGGUGCUCGAGUGGCGAACGGGUGAGUAACACGUGAGUAACCUGCCCUUGACUUUGGGAUAACUUCAGGAAACUGGGGCUAAUACCGGAUAGGAGCUCCUGCUGCAUGGUGGGGGUUGGAAAGUUUCGGCGGUUGGGGAUGGACUCGCGGCUUAUCAGUUUGUUGGUGGGGUAGUGGCUUACCAAGGCUUUGACGGGUAGCCGGCUUGAGAGGGUGACCGGCCACAUUGUGACUGGGAUGCGACCCGGACUCCUACGUGGGGCAGCAGUGGAGAAUAUUGCACGAUGGGCGGAAGCCUUAUGCAGCAACGCCGCGUGCGAGAUGACGGCCUGCGGGUUGUAAACCGCUUUCGCCUGUGACGAAGCGUGAGUGACGGUAAUGGGUAAAGAAGCACCGGCUAACUACGUG
rnacentral:rRNA from 1 species